UACGUAGGGUGCAAGCGUUGUCCGGAAUUAUUGGGCGUAAAGAGCUCGUAGGCGGUGUGUCGCGUCGGCCGUGAAAACCUGGGGCUCAACUCUGGCGUGCGGUCGAUACGGGCAUCACUUGAGUUCGGCAGGGGAGACUGGAAUUCUGGUGUAGCGGUGAAAUGCGUAGAUAUCACUUGGAACGCCAAUGGUGAAAACAGACUGCUGGGGGUGUGCUGACGCUGGAGAACACGGAAAGCCAGGGGAGCAAACGGG
rnacentral:rRNA from 1 species